CGCGGGAUGGAGCAGUCUGGUAGCUCGUUGGGCUCAUAACCCAAAGGUCGUAGGUUCAAAUCCUACUCCCGCAA
rfam:Lactobacillus harbinensis DSM 16991 NODE_308, whole genome shotgun sequence.